rnacentral:rRNA from 2 species
GGCUGCUCCUAGUACGAGAGGACCGGAGUGGACGCAUCACUGGUGUUCGGGUUGUCAUGCCAAUGGCACUGCCCGGUAGCUAAAUGCGGAAGAGAUAAGUGCUGAAAGCAUCUAAGCACGAAACUUGCCCCGAGAUGAGUUCUCCCUGACUCCUUGAGAGUCCUGAAGGAACGUUGAAGACGACGACGUUGAUAGGCCGGGUGUGUAAGCGCAGCGAUGCGUUGAGCUAACCGGUACUAAUGAACCGUGAGGCUUAACCUUACAACGCCGAAGCUGUU